rnacentral:tRNA from 2 species
GCCGCCGUAGCUCAGCUGGUAGAGCACUCCGCUGUUAACGGAGUUGUCCCAGGUUCGAGCCCUGGCGGCGGCG